rnacentral:rRNA from 1 species
GACGAACGCUGGCGGCGUGCUUAACACAUGCAAGUCGAACGGAAAGGCCCUGCUCUUGUGGGGUGCUCGAGUGGCGAACGGGUGAGUAACACGUGAGUAACCUGCCCUUGACUUUGGGAUAACUUCAGGAAACUGGGGCUAAUACCGGAUAGGAGAUCCUGCUGCACGGUGGGGGUUGGAAAGUUUCGGCGGUUGGGGAUUGACUCGCGGCUUAUCAGCUUGUUGGUGGGGUAGUGGCUGACCAAGGCUUUGACGGGUAGCCGGCCUGGGAGGGUGACCGGCGACAUUGGGACUGCGAUACGGCCCAGACUCCUACGGGAGGCAGCAGUGGGGAAUAUUGCGCAAUGGGCCGGAGCCUGAUGCAGCAGCGCCGCGUGCGGGAUGACGGCCUUCGGGUUGUAAACCGCUUUCGCCUGUGACGAAGCGUGAGUGACGGUAAUGGGUAAAGAAGCACCGGCUAACUACGUG